rnacentral:rRNA from 1 species
UACGUAGGUGGCGAGCGUUGUCCGGAAUUACUGGGUGUAAAGCGCGUGUAGGCGGGAGGCCAAGUCUGCUGUGAAAUCGCCCGGCUCAACUGGGCGGGGUCGGUGGAAACUGGUCACCUGGAGGACGGUAGAGGCGAGUGGAAUUCCCGGUGUAGUGGUGAAAUGCGUAGAGAUCGGGAGGAACACCAGUGGCGAAGGCGACUUUCUGGUCUGUAACUGACACUGAAGCGCGAAAGCGUGGGGAGCGAACAGG